rnacentral:misc_RNA from 1 species
GGGUUGUUGCUGGCCUUCCGAGGCAUGUGCACGCCCUGCUCAUCCACUCUACACCUGUGCACUUACUGUAGGUUGGCGUGGGUUUCUAGCCUCCGGGCUGGGAGCAUUCUGCCGGCCUAUGUACACUACAAACUCUAAAGUAUCAGAAUGUAAACGCGUCUAACGCAUCUUAAU